AGUGACUUUUUUUUUUUUUUUUGGUAAUGGGAAUGGUGCAGUAUUAAUUAUGAAGUUGACUUCUAUUUGAAUGGAUUUGUGGGUGUAUGAAAUUUGGCCCAGAAUUUAAGUUCAGUGCAAUCACGCUUUUCUUCCAAUUACAAUAAUUAUCAAUCCAUUUUCCAUCUUCUUUUUAAGUCUAUAUAGUACAGACCUUUGUUUUCACAGACCAAAUAUGUCAGUUCUCAAGUCUGCUAAGUCAAUCUGGUUGUAAAUAGAAAGGGAAUGGUUUUCAGUCAUUGUCACAGUGCAACCCUGUGAGAUGCACAGCGUGCAAAAGUGCACCAAGAGCACAGAUAGUGCUAAACACAUGGAUUUCUAAAGUCAGUCAGCAGUGAUGAAGGAGCUUAAUUGCAUAUGUCAUGAAAUAUUUAAAUUGAUAGUGACCAGCAUGUGCAAAUCUGGUAUCUAGACUUUUACAGCUAUUUAUGUAUUAUAAACAGCUGUGCCAGUGACUCAAUCUUUUUCACUCUGUAGAGUACGCCAUCCAAAAAUCACUAUUUCUUGCAGUGCAUUUUGAAGCUUACUUUUUGUACUGGGUGAUUUGUUGUGAAAAAGUCUAUGGCAAAAGUACAAAACUCAGAGAGGUCUGGGGUCCUUACAUCCUCCUAGGCGUUGGUGCACGUAGUCCAUAGCAGAUCACAGGAAGUUAUUAGAGAGAGCAAGCAAAAAAUUCCUAUCUGUUGCAAUAAGUAUUCUUACAUGGUCAUUGACUGCUUUCCAACUACAUUCAGACCUUGCUUCUGCUACCACAAUGGCCUUAUUGGUAAGGUUUUACAAUGACAACCCAGUUCAUAGAAGCUGGAGUUUACACCACAUUCCUAACACAGUCUUGCGUCAAGCCACAAAAGAGGAAAUACCAUUUUUUCUCUUUGUGUGUCUUGAGUUUUGUUUUUUCAUCUGCUCUUCACUCCCUUCUAACAGUCAAAACUCCCACUCCAUAUCAGCUUUCUUCCUGCAGCAUAGCCCUGUGCUGCUUUGAUCAGUGGGAGAGUUGGUGUCGGCACGGACCUGUCAUCUCUGAGCAUGCAGAGCAAUAAAGGGUGAGAUUAGAAAGAACUCAAUGAGACGUUGUUUCAGGCUGCUGGCAGGCUUCGGUAGGCACUGUGGUAUGGUGAGAUUGAGAGGGUAUUAUUUGCCUUCAUAAGAUGCCAAAGCUAAUAUUUUUUUCAAUAGUGAAGUGUUGGACUUUUGCAAAAUCUCGGCGUGCUCAAGGUCAGAAAUUUUGCCUGGGAUUGGCAUCACGUUGUUGGAUAAUCAGUUCUCUGUGAAGUCUACUGUUCUGGGGUUAUAACAAUAUUAAUUUUAUCUUUGUCUUCUGAGGGAUCCUGAAAAUUGACAUGAAUAAUCUAUGGAGUGCCCACUUUCUGUUUGUUUCCAAUCUUUCCUCUUUUGGUCUUUAUAAUUUUCGGAAAGCAAUGGCAGUCGGAUGGAAUCCCACGUGGCUUUUUCUGCCUCACUGGUACCGUGGCAAGCAUUAAGCAUAACUGCAACUUAGAACUGCUGGAAUUUUAGCAGAGCUAUUGUGUGUAUUUUUUGUUGAGGCUUUGUUUUUGUCCAUGGGAAUGAGGAACGGGAUUAUCUUUAACAGCUACCUUCCAUUCUAGUCACAUAUUUAUUGCCUUAAAUUAUCUCAACAGAAGUGAAAGCUGUUAGCUGUAUGGCGACAGGAUAAAUUUUAGUUAUGCAUAUCUUUUGUCUCUCCACAGCUCAAAGAAAUGUACAGAUUGAUUGCUUUGUCAUAUAGCUCUGCUGAUUGCUUCCUGCAAGCCAGCAAGCAUCCUUAACUCCAGUUGACUUCAUUGGAAAUUGAGGGCUCUUGCAGCCUCUAAGACUUACUUGGCACACUCCUCUGUGCCUUCAGCAGACAUACCCAGUAUGCACGAGCAUCACUCCAUCCACUGGCAGAACACAGCUAUUGCUGAGUAAGGAGAAAACAGCCAAGGGGUGGGAGAGCCUGGUUGUGUGAGUGCUUGAGACACUCUUCCCAUCUUGCUGUGAAUUUGAGCAAGCCACAGAAUCUCCCCCAUUCUGGAGCUCUCUAUUUUUAAGUUACGGUAAAAGUCUAUUUUUAAGUUAAUUUUUAAGUUUAAGUUUUUAAGUUAAGUAUUCAGUUAAUGAAUGAAAUGAAAUGAAUGAAUGAAAAAUGUUAAAAGUAAUGAGGGGAUCACAGGCUGUGGCACUGGGAACUGCGUGGUAUGGAUGAUAAGGAGGUGUAUGCUUCUUCAGUUAUAAUAGCAGUGUAGAACGUUUCCUUCCUGGGCUUAAUGAUUCCAUGGAUUCCUUUUCAGGCCAAGUGCUUGUCUCACCAGGUGAACUCUCCCUCACAAACACUGCAAUGCACUGGAGUGGUGUUGAGGAGUGAUCUGAUGAGCAGUGCGAAGUAAACAGACUAGAGAUACUCCUAUGACCACCCACAGCAGCUGUGUUGUCCAUCAUGGGAGGGAAGGUGGAGAGAAGAGUGAAAGGUGACGCUGCUAUUCAUGAAACUGUUGAAUGCUGGAAUAAUGAAAUUCUGCAGAAAUCCCUGCUGUUCCAGACAGGUUGAUCAGAAAGCACCACAGACUUGACUGGCAGAGCCUGCAGCGGGCGCUUUAACCUCUGAGACACCUCGUGGUGGAAGUGCUCACUGCUCGUUGCAGGGCUGGCAUCUCGGGAAGAAUCCAUUUUAGAACAGAACUUGGGGCCUUCGUUCUGCUCAGAUGGAAGUUGCUGAAGUCAUACAGCUUGGAGGGAUGCUAAUGUGGGGAAAAGGUGGGUCUCUGGCAAACUUUUUGUUUCAAACUUUUAAAGCCAAAGGGAAAUCCAUUUUGUUAGGCAAUGAAGUCUGCCUUUGUGUGGUACUUCACAAAUAUUUAUGAGAUCGAUGAUAUUUUAUCACUGCAAUUUAACAGUCACAGUUUCUGCCCAAAUAAAGAGAACACGUGGGCUUCACUUACAGUUUGUUUCAUUUGACCUGAAACCGAACAUGUAAUGUCAACGUGAGCCUUGAUGGGUUAAAGCCCUCAUUAAAAAUAUCGCUUUGUUCUAACGUUAGCAUGCAAAGCCAGCGCACCACCACUGAAACCAGCCCCUCUGAAUGGAUGGGAGCCACUCUGGGCUGUUUUCUGUCUCAGAACGUGGGAUAUUCCAGCCGUAACACCGAGUUUUACAGCUUCUUUGUUUAUCUACCUGAAGUUAUGCUUUGGAGAACUGACAUCUGCUUUCUUAUCAGCAGAGGGGACAGCAGAGAGCUGUGCCCCUCAUUUACAAGGAGUUUGCAGAUGAUUUUUCUCAGUUGGAAGGAAAUCUUUACACCCCUCCCCUGCCAGGUUCCUCACAGCAGCUCAGGUCAAAGCGCUGCUGGCCCAGACCUCCCACGUUGGCGUUGUGUUACACCGCCGUGCUUGAACGAACACAUGGGAAACCUUUAAUCAAAUCCGCUCUCAGAGCAUAAGUGACACCGCGCCGGGGAGGCCCAACGGAGCCGCCCCGUUGGUGUGGCUGAACCCAACCGAACGGAACGGAACGGAACGGAACCGAACCGCCGCGCUCCCCGCCUUGCGGGCCGCCAGCAGCCGCUCUGAGGGGCGGGCGGGUUCGCGCCCGACUGACUUCCCCGGCAGCCAAUCGAAAGCUGAACUUCCGUCCUAACUGACCUCCCGCCGGUCAAACUGCCCAAUCAGCACGCAGGAGGUUAACGGAUCAUCCUGUCCCCAUGUCGGCGAUCAAAUGAGCCAAUCGGCGGAGGGCAGGCUCGUUACCAAUAGGAUCAAAGAGUUUACGGAACAAGGACGCGCCAUUGGUGGCUCCACCUAUCGGUCUUCGCCGCCGCGGCAGGGGAUUGGUUAGUGGGGAGGAGGGGGCGGUUUCCGGGGGCGGGGAAGGUAUAUUACGGACGGACAAAGGCGGCGGCGAGGCCCUUUAGCUCGCCGCCAUUUUGAGCAGCGGGCUCUGAGGAGCAGCAGCGGCAGCCGGCGCGCCUCUCUUUCUCCACCUUCUCCACCACCAC